AAGGCGGAUCAAGAAUUAGUAAAUGCAAAAAAAUGAAGAGAGGAAGCGUCUUGAACUUUUUAUGGAGAUGAUGGAUAUGCAAAUGAAGGAGAUGAAAUCCAUGUCCAAAUCUAUUCGAGAAUUGGAAAUGAGACAGAGAAUGGCCGAUAUGAAGAUAAAUCGAUAGGAGUGCAUUCAAUGGGCAAUGAUUUUGGAGAAUUUAUGGUUAAAGAUCAAGAGGGUUCAAGAUGAGGAUACAUGAAGCUUUUUUACUUUGUGUAAUUAACUCAAAAAAUAUUUUUUAAUGAAAGUACACAAAUAGUGUAAAACACUUAUAUUUUGUUAUUACUCAAAAUACAUUACACUUUAAUUCA